GAGGCCGGUCGGGAGGGGCUGUUUUCCGGCGGAAGCUGCUGCGAGGCCCGCACCGGCAUUCUCUACCCCGCGCGCCUCCCUAUUGUCGGAAAUGGGGUCUCUGGUCUCUGCGCCAUGCCCCACCACUUCCCCAACGCCCAGAGGCCCCCCGAAGGACCAAGGGUUACCGACUACACAUGAGACGUUUGAAGGUUCCUGGCCUCUUAAGAAAAUUGGCCACCAAAGAAUGAAAAAUCGCGCCCUAUAUUUGAUGAAUAGAACUGAAGAUUACUUUGCCAAAGAUUAACACAGGAUGGUAAAGAGGAGAUGUGGCGAGGCGGUGAGACCACAGCAAAAAGUAAAUACUGCCAGUAGAAAAUGGGGGAAUUCCUUUUAAAUAUGUGAUGUCUGUGUAAGUACAAUUACCAGGGGAUGUGUUAAUUUGGAGAUAUCUUGUAUCUUUUCUAAUCCUGGUAAAAGGGAGGACAGCCACAGAAGUUGGAGGGUAUGUAAGUUGUAAAAUGGGCAUAAGGACAUCACCAAUAAGCUGGACUCCAGAAAGCUCUGUCUAGGAUUUUAUUAGACUGCUUUCCCCCCAAUAUACCUGUUUUGGAAGAUUGAGACAAAAAGGCAGAAACUCACAUUAAAU